CGAUGGGCUGCCCGGGCCGGGGAGGUGGCACCGUGCUGGGGGCCGUGUGGGGACAGCGGAGCGGCCGUGUCCCGAGCUGGCGGACAGGGUGCGGGCGGCAAUUCCCAUCGCUUUCUGCAUCUCCGGUCAAACCUCGGUGUUCCCGGGAGGUGCUCGUUUAUUGCACCUCUGUGAAUUCCUUCGGAUUUUGGGAAACGCAGCACGGGUGCCCCGAGCACAUCCCCUCCUCCUGCUGGGAAAGGAGCAACGCUGCGCUGUGCCCUCACCGCUCCGGGAGUGAAUCAUUAACCCUCGGUUACAACCACGGGCUGCAACACGCUCUGCUGCCUUUCCCGGCUCUGCUCCGCGCCGGCGGCUCUGGG